UACGUAGGUGGCAAGCGUUGUCCGGAUUUACUGGGCGUAAAGGGUAUGCAGGCGGAUAUUUAAGUAGGAAGUGAAAGGUUGGAGCUCAACUCCAACACUGCUUCCUAUACUGGGUGUCUUGAGUGGCGGAGAGGAAGAUGGAACUCCAUGUGUAGCGGUGAAAUGCGUAGAUAUAUGGAGGAACACCAAUGGCGAAAGCAAUCUUCUGGACGCAAACUGACGCUGAGAUACGAAAGCUAUGGUAGCGAACAGG
rnacentral:rRNA from 1 species